AUUGAACGCUGGCGGAAUGCUUUACACAUGCAAGUCGAACGGUAGAGGGGGCAACCCCUCGAGAGUGGCGAACGGGUGAGUAAUAUAUCGGAACGUGCCCAGUCGUGGGGGAUAACGUAGCGAAAGUUACGCUAAUACCGCAUACGAUCUAAGGAUGAAAGCGGGGGAUCGCAAGACCUCGCGCGAUUGGAGCGGCCGAUAGCAGAUUAGGUAGUUGGUGGGGUAAAGGCUCACCAAGCCAACGAUCUGUAGCUGGUCUGAGAGGACGACCAGCCACACUGGAACUGAGACACGGUCCAGACUCCUACGGGAGGCAGCAGUAGGGAAUUUUGGACAAUGGACGCAAGUCUGAUCCAGCCAUUCCGCGUGCAGGAUGAAGGCCCUCGGGUUGUAAACUGCUUUUGUACGGAACGAAAAGGUCUCUCUUAAUACGGGGGACUCAUGACGGUACCGUAAGAAUAAGCACCGGCUAACUACGUGCCAGCAGCCGCCGUAAUAC
rnacentral:rRNA from 1 species